rnacentral:rRNA from 1 species
UACAGAGGGUGCGAGCGUUAAUCGGAAUUACUGGGCGUAAAGCGCGCGUAGGCGGCUUUGCAAGUCGGGUGUGAAAUCCCCAGGCUUAACCUGGGAACUGCAUUCGAGACUGCAUUGCUAGAGUAUGGGAGAGGGAAGUGGAAUUUCCGGUGUAGCGGUGAAAUGCGUAGAUAUCGGGAGGAACACCUGUGGCGAAAGCGGCGCACUGGACCAUAACUGACGCUGAUGCGCGAAAGCUAGGGGAGCAAACAGG